CAUAUUCUGACGAUGGUCUUCGUUACUUGGUCAUUUCAGUCAGUGUUGGAUUCACUGUAGAGAGUGGUAUGGCGCAUGCAGCAUGUGAUGACCAAAAUCAUAGUUAAGGUACUCUUUGAAUGCCUAAGUAGAAACUCCUGAAAGAAAUGACAGAUGAGACAUCAAAAUGUCCUGGAUGUAUAU